rnacentral:lncRNA from 12 species
GGGCACUAGGGAACCAUUCUUAGGUCCUGAACAGGUAAGAGCCAAACUACAUGCUAUGCUCUUCCGAGGAUAAUCUGACAGUUACAGUCUGGUGGGAUUACAGAAGAGUGGUAUUGAAGAUAUCAAGAAAAUACUUUUAUUAUAAAGAAGAUAUGUUUGGCAUAUCUUGAAGAAGUGGAAAUAUCACUGUAAUAUCCAUCAGUUCUGUCCCAGCCUGAUUGAUACUCUACAAACCCAUUAUGAAGGUCAGUAUAUUUUGGGUCAAAGACUUGUGAAAUGAAAAAAAAAAUGAAGUGAAAAUAAGCACAUACAACUUGUGGAGAUAAAGAUUUAAUCAACCCUAUAGGUAACAAAGUGUGGUAGCCAUGCAGUAGUUCCUAAGAGCCUUGUAAAAUGUUUAUGUGUCACAUAAUUUUAUAAUAUGAAGAAAACUUUCCUCUAUCAACUUUUUUUUUGUAGCCUGAGGACUAAAACAGUUAUUUACAGGUUUUAUUAUUUGGGACAUAAAAAUACACUAAACUGAAAGAGUGAAAAGAAGUUC